GCAGAGACGACUCCAGAGGAGGCAACAAAUCCCAGGGAUCGGGAGCAGAGCCAAGGAAUCCGCAGAGAAUUCCCAGCCUCCUGCCUGCAGCCCAUGGAUGAGGGAUCCUGCCAGGAUUAUUCCCUGCUCUGGUACUUCCACCCCGAGGCCAAGGCCUGCAGGCCCUUCCUUUUCGGGGGAUGCCGAGGGAACGGGAAUCGCUUCCCAUCCCGGCGGGAAUGCGAGCGGCGCUGCGGAGCCUCGGCAGGCAGAGGGAGCUGAGCAGCUGGAAUUCCCUGGUUCAAAUCCCAGGGAAACGGAGCUGGGAGAAGUUUCUCCGGGACAUCUCGGACGAGCAGGACAAACGUUUGGAGGGGAACAGGCAAGAGGUGUUGGGAAAACGGGAAUUCUGAAGAGGAAAUCCAGCGGGAUGAGGGCAGGGAAACACCCCCCUGGUGGCUGAGGGAAGGGGGGAUGUCCAAAGGCUCCCGACUUCAUCCCAUGGGAUUGGAAGGUGGGAAAAAAAAAACCC